UCAGAAUAUGUGAAACGACGUUGUAUUAUCAUUAUGCUUUCCUUUGAUCUCAGAAAUUAGAAUCUCGCAGCCGUCAAAUUCUUCUCCUCUAAGCUCUGUUUCGAUGAAAGUGAAACUUAGAAACAUGAUAUGAAUCGAACUUGAGAAACAAUAUUGUGGGUCUCUUCGUCUUCUUCACUAAUAGAAGGUAAACAUCUAAUUUCGAAAUUGUUUUCUUCUAAUUUUGAUUAUAGGUUGCAGCCUACUUUGGUUCCUGUGAGACUGUGAGCGUCCUAAAUCCUAAUACUUCAAGAGGUUUGGUAACUUCGAAGUGUAUGUUUCUGCUGUGAGGGUUUUUGUUGUGUUUGGUGGGUUAUCUUCACUUUCAGAUCAAAGCUCAUGUAGAUGGAGUAGGGAUCGUUGGUUUGAGACUAAGAGAGGAGGAUGAAGUUGGUCUAUGUCUUGUUUCUAAAUGGUUUGCAGUUUUUUUUUAAAUUUCAGACAGAAGCUUUAUGUGCUUUUAGAUUCUCAAUGGUUUGUUGUAUUUCACUUUUUAAGUUUCAGAUUUAUGUACUUGCAGAUUUUAAAUAUGUAUGAGAUACACUGCAGAUUUUAAAAUCAGGUUUAUUACAUGUUAUUGAGCAUGUAAAUGAUUAAAA